rnacentral:lncRNA from 1 species
CUACAUUAUAUUUUGUAUUUUUAUAUUUCAAUUUACCUGGUGCUAUAGGUUUGACCAAAAAUACAAAAUUAUAUUAAAAAAAAAAUACUGACAAAAAACUGGUUAUACAUUAUUUUAUUUAACAAAACAACAUAUUUGUGUUUAAGUUUAUGCUUUGAACAGGGGGUGCAUUCUUUCUUGGUAAGUGGUGGUACUGAAUUCCAGGCAUGGAAUCUUUAAGCCCACCAUCUUAAAACUGUAACUAGGUUUAUUGAACGCUUACUUUUCCAUUGUAUAAAAAUUAUAAUUUGAUAAAUGUGUAUACGAGGGAGUGAUAUAUACACAAUACAAAUGAGGCGUGUUUUUAAGACUGUCUUAUUUAUAUUGCAUUCAUAUAGCACCAACAUAGCCCACGGUGCUUUAAAACGAUAAGUAGCAUUUGUUUUCAACUCCUUUCAUUUUUGGUCACAAGCAGGACCCAUGUAUACAAGAUGUUGUCAUAAGAAAAAUAUUACUGUGGGUGUGUAAAUAUAUGCUUGAGGUUGAGGGGGUGUUAAAAGCAAUGUACCAUUAGAUUAUGUCCCUUUUAAAAUUGCCACACCUGUAUGAUAGAACUUCCAAUUUUGGAAUACCUAUUGUAUUUGUUGAAAGCCUGAUUCUUAUUUAUUUCCUCACUAACUGACAGUUAUUAGUUUAAAAAUACAGUACACCAGAUGCUUAGGUAUAUAGAUAGGGUUACCCAAACAUGUUUUAAUAUGUAUUACAGUUACAUUGUAUAGAUGAAUGGAAUUGUGAUUUAAAAAAGAGCACUUCUAUUUAUUUCUGAUAUUUUCCACUUACUCUGGGAGCUCACAAAUGCACAUCUUAACUAAAAUUAGUUGUAAAUAAGUAAGUUAUCCACUAUACUAAGAACUAAACAGGAAAUGUCAAAUGUUUAGAAGAUGUGUAUAUAUUUUAACCCAUAUGGCUAAACAUGUCUUUAAAACUGAAAUUCACUUGUCAAUCCCAGAUUAAAUGAAUAACCCUGGAAGUAUUAUAUUUGGCAAAAAUGUUAUCGAGUCAGAGUCCAUUGUAUACCACACUUGUCAUGUUACUUAUUACAGACUGACAAACUUAUCCUAUCUAGAUCUCUGUCACAUCUAGAAUACAAAUUACUAUAACUUAUGGCAACUGUAGUAAACAUAAAAAAAAAAAUCUGUCUGGUAUACACAAGUGUUAUUUAAAUGAACGUACCUUUUUUCUUUUUAUUUGAUUGUGCCUGAUAAAAUUUCACACACAAAAAAAAAGCACCGAAAUGUCAUACAUAUAAACACUUUCAAUACUUCAAAUAUUUUCUAUACAAGUCUAGUUUAUAUUGGAGUAAUUUAAUGGCAAACUUACGUUUUCAGUUUAGACUGAGCAAGUUAGCCCUUCAAAGCAAGUUAGACAGAGUAAAACAAUUUUCACAGGUUUUCAAGCUGGAUUCCACCCCCCUCCCCCCCAAAACUGAAUAAUCUUUUUAAGUGGUUAUUUUACAAAUAUAUACAUAUUUGAUCAGUAAUUGGCAGAACAUGAAUGCUCACAUUGCAAGGUGAGGGAUAAACAUUCACAUUUAACGAGCAGUAAAUUCCAAUAAUGUACAUCAUAAUUUUUAUACACAAAGGACCAAAUAUAUACACACAAUUUCUGUAGGGAAGUUCAUUUCACCAGGCAAGUAUUAAUUUGGAAGUGUAGGUAAAACAAUAUUGCAAAGGAUUAAAAUAGUAUAGAGUUUCUUCAAAUGCAAAGAUAUUUUGAUGAUACUGGCAUAAAACACAUGGAGUGUGUCCAAAUGUAAGUGAUGAGAAGAGCAAUAACUGGCGUAUAAGCAGCACGGUGAGUGGCAUCUACCGUCGGUAAUGAUUUGGAGCGUCCGCAAACAUAUAUUUCAGUCUAUAUGCUUCUGCCAAAAGUAGACCAAUUUCUUCAUUGCCCCAAUGGAUUGUAGGCAAGUUCUGAAGUAACAUGAGCAGGCCCUGGAAUAUAAACCAGCGAAAGUUUUAAAAAAAUAAAUAAAAACAUUUAAAAAAAAAGGCUAACCAGAACUGGCAGACAUUCUUAAAGUGAGUCAGUUGACAACAAUAAUGAAAUUAG